rnacentral:sRNA from 1 species
ACCGCCGGCAUUCGCCGGCUAAGGCCAUACGGACAGCCGGGUCGAAUGCCGA